CUCUAAGAGGUUUGCCACCGAAAGGCGUGUCGGCGAACUAGUUAUCAGGCUAGAGUCUCGUUCGUCAUCUGAAUUAACCAGACAAAUCACUCCACCAACUAAGAACGGCCAUGCACCACCACCCACUGAAUCAAGAGAGAGCUUUCAAUCUGUCAAUCCUUCCAGUGGGUGUUAGUGCA